UUAAAUUGAAGAGUUUGAUCAUGGCUCAGAUUGAACGCUGGCGGCAGGCCUAACACAUGCAAGUCGAACGGUAACAGGAAGCAGCUUGCUGCUUUGCUGACGAGUGGCGGACGGGUGAGUAAUGUCUGGGAAACUGCCUGAUGGAGGGGGAUAACUACUGGAAACGGUAGCUAAUACCGCAUAACGUCGCAAGACCAAAGAGGGGGACCUUCGGGCCUCUUGCCAUCGGAUGUGCCCAGAUGGGAUUAGCUAGUAGGUGGGGUAACGGCUCACCUAGGCGACGAUCCCUAGCUGGUCUGAGAGGAUGACCA
rnacentral:rRNA from 1 species